rnacentral:rRNA from 1 species
CCUACGGGAGGCAGCAGUGGGGAAUCUUGCGCAAUGGGCGAAAGCCUGACGCAGCAACGCCGCGUGCGGGAAGAAGGCUUUCGGGCUGUAAACCGCUUUCAGCAGGAACGAAAAUGACGGUACCUGCAGAAGAAGGAGCGGCCAACUAUGUGCCAGCAGCCGCGGUGAUACAUAGGCUUCAAGCGUUGUCCGGAUUUAUUGGGCGUAAAGAGUUCGUAGGCGGUCAAGUAAGUCGGGUGUGAAAAUUCUGGGCUCAACCCAGAGACGCCACCCGAUACUGCUUAACUUGAGUUCGAUAGGGGAGUGGGGAAUUCCUAGUGUAGCGGUGAAAUGCGCAGAUAUUAGGAGGAACACCGGUGGCGAAGGCGCCACUCUGGAUCGAUACUGACGCUGAGGAACGAAAGCAUGGGUAGCAAACAGGAUUAGAUACCCUGGUAGUCCAUGCCGUAAACGGUGGGCACUAGGUGUGGGUUUCUAUUAACGAAAUCCGCGCCGUCGCUAACGCAUUAAGUGCCCCGCCUGGGGAGUACGGUCGCAAGCUAAAACUCAAAUGAUGCGCNGAGNGCGCGACGACGACGACGAGGAG